rnacentral:rRNA from 1 species
CUCGUAGGCGGUUUGUCGCGUUGUCCGUGAAAUUCCCUGGCUUAACUGGGGGCGUGCGGGCGAUACGGGCAGACUGGAGUACUGCAGGGGAGACUGGAAUUCCUGGUGUAGCGGUGGAAUGCGCAGAUAUCAGGAGGAACACCGGUGGCGAAGGCGGGUCUCUGGGCAGUAACUGACGCUGAGGAGCGAAAGCGUGGGGAGCGAACA